AAUGAACGCUGGCGGCGUGCUUAACACAUGCAAGUCGUACGAGAAACCCCGGCUUGCCGGGGGAGUAAAGUGGCGCACGGGUGAGUAACGCGUGGGUAAUCUACCCUCGAAUUGGGGAUAACACACCGAAAGGUGUGCUAAUACCGAAUAAGACCACGACCUCCACGGGGGUUGCGGUCAAAGAUGGCCUCUGCUUGCAAGCUGUCGUUUGAGGAUGAGCCCGCGUACCAUUAGCUUGUUGGUGGGGUAAUGGCCUACCAAGGCAACGAUGGUUAGCUGGUCUGAGAGGAUGGCCAGCCACACUGGAACUGGAACACGGUCCAGACUCCUACGGGAGGCAGCAGUGAGGAAUUUUGCGCAAUGGGGGAAACCCUGACGCAGCAACGCCGCGUGAGUGAAGAAGGCCUUCGGGUUGUAAAGCUCUGUCAAGUGGGAAGAACCUUUUUCGGCCGAAUACGCCGAGAAACUGACGGUACCGCUGAAGGAAGCACCGGCUAACUCCGUGCCAGCCGCCGCAGUAA
rnacentral:rRNA from 1 species